GGGCCAUGGCUCAGUGGCAGAGGAUCUGACUUGCAUGCAGAAGGUCCCAGAUUCAAUUCCUGGCAUCUCCA